rnacentral:rRNA from 1 species
AGGGCAGACGGUGGAUGCCUUGGCUCUCGGAGGCGACGAAGGACGUGAUAAGCUGCGAAAAGCUGCGGGGAUUGGCACAUACGAUUCGAUCCGCAGAUAUCCGAAUGGGGUAACCCAUCCAUAUUAAUAUGGAUACAGUAUAUGAUACUGGGCAAACGUGGGGAACUGAAACAUCUUAGUACCCACAGGAGAAGAAAACAAACGUGAUUCCCUUAGUAGUGGCGAGCGAACGGGGAUUAGCCUAAACCGGUUUUGUUUCGGCAAAGCCGGGGUUAUAGGAGUACCAUAAGAGAUUGCAGCGAUUAUAGGAGAACGUUCUGGAAAGGACGACCAUAGAGCAUGAUAGUUGCGUAUCCGGCAUGAUAGCUUCAGUUGAGGUACCACCUGAGUAGGGCGGGACACGAGAAAUCCUGUCUGAAUUAGCGGGGCCCAUCCCGUAAGGCUAAAUACUCCCGAGAGACCGAUAGUGAACAAGUACCGUGAGGGAAAGGUGAAAAGAACCUCGAACAGAGGAGUGAAAUAGACCCUGAACCCGUCUGCCUACAAGCGGUAGGAGCAUCUGUUAUGAGGUGUGACUGCGUGCCUUUUGCAUAAUGAACCUACGAGUUACUGUAUCCGGCGAGGUUAAUCGAUCGAGUCGAGGAACCGCAGCGAAAGCGAGUCUUAAAUGGCGUGAAGAGUCGGAUGAAGUAGACGCGAAACCAAGUGAUCUACCCUUGGUCAGGUUGAAGUUUAGGUAACACUAAAUGGAGGACCGAAUCGUUAAGCGUUGAAAAGCUUUCGAAUGAACUGAGGGUAGGGGUGAAAGGCUAAUCAAACUUGGAGAUAGCUCGUACUCCCCGAAAUGCAUUUAGGUGCAGCCUUUGAUGUUUCUUGUAUGAGGUAGAGCGACUGAUUGGAUGCGAGGCUUUCACCGGCUAUCAAGUCCAGACAAACUCCGAAUGCAUAUAAGUAUAGUCAGGGAGUGAGGGCAUGGGUGCUAAGGUCCAUGUCCGAGAGGAGAAGAAUCCGGACCAUCGGCUAAGGUCCCGAAAUAACAGCUAAGUUGACCAAACGAAGUCAAGAUGCAGAGACAGCUAGGAUGUUGGCUUGGAAGCAGCCAUUCAUUUAAAGAGUGCGUAACAGCUCACUAGUCGAGGAUUUUGGCAUGGAUAAUACUCGGGCAUAAGCUGUUUACCGAAGCCGUGGGAUACGUAUAGUAUCGGUAGGGGAGCAUUCCAGCGACGUAGAAGAUUGAAGGACGACUUCAGUUGGAGUUUCUGGAAACGCAAAUGUAGGUAUAAGUAACGAUAAAGGGGGCGAGAAACCCCCUCGCCGAAAGACCAAGGUUUCCUGAUCAACGCUAAUCGGAUCAGGGUUAGUCGGGUCCUAAGUCGCAGUCGAAAGGCGCAGACGAUGGCCGAAUGGGUUAAUAUUCCCAUACUGUCUAUGGGAGUGAUGUGGAGACGGAGAAGUGACAGCACUGCGUACAGACGGAAUUGUACGUUAAAGGGUGUAGGUAUUGAUUGCGGCAGGCAAAUCCACCGCGAGAGCCGAACCUGAUAGUACACCGAUUGCUUGCAAGAGGUGAAAAUGUGUGUAAUCCUGCUUCCAAGAAAAUCCGCUAAACAAAUGUCAUAGACACCCGUACCGUAAACCGACACAGGUGGUUGGGUUGAGAAUACUAAGGCGCUCGAGAUAUUCGCGGUUAAGGAACUAGGCAAAAUGGUCCUGUAACUUCGGGAUAAAGGACGCCACUGGUUUCAUCAGUGGCCGCAGAGAAUAGGCCCAGGCGACUGUUUAACAAAAACACAAGGCUGUGCUAAAUAGCAAUAUUAUGUAUACAGUCUGACACCUGCCCGGUGCUGGAAGGUUAAGAGGAGAAGUCAUCAGCGAUGAGAAGCUUUGAAUUGAAGCCCCAGUAAACGGCGGCCGUAACUAUAACGGUCCUAAGGUAGCGAAAUUCCUUGUCGGGUAAGUUCCGACCUGCACGAAUGGUGUAACGAUCUGGGCACUGUCUCAACCGCGAGCUCGGUGAAAUUGUAGUAUCGGUGAAGAUGCCGAUUACCCGCAACGGGACGAAAAGACCCCGUGAACCUUUACUAUAGCUUUACAUUGAUCCUGGGUACCGGAUGUGUAGGAUAGGCCGGAGACUGAGAAGGUGUGACGCCAGUCAUGUCGGAGUCGCUGUUGAAAUACGGCCCUUCUGUUAUUUGGGAUCUAACUUGAAAAAUCAAGGACAUUGUAUGGUGGGUAGUUUGACUGGGGUGGUCGCCUCCAAAAGUGUAACGGAGGCUUCUAAAGGUACCCUCAGGCCGAUUGGUAACCGGUCGCAGAGUGUAAUGGCACAAGGGUGCUUGACUGGGAGACAAACAAGUCGCACAGGUAGGAAACUAGAGCAUAGUGAUCCGGUGGUUCCGCAUGGAAGGGCCAUCGCUCAAAGGAUAAAAGGUACUCCGGGGAUAACAGGCUGAUCAUUCCCAAGAGCUCAUAUCGACGGAAUGGUUUGGCACCUCGAUGUCGGCUCGUCACAUCCUGGGGCUGGAGAAGGUCCCAAGGGUUGGGCUGUUCGCCCAUUAAAGUGGCACGCGAGCUGGGUUCAGAACGUCGUGAGACAGUUCGGUCUCUAUCUGUUGUGGGCGCAGGAGAUUUGCGAGGAUCUGACACUAGUACGAGAGGACCGUGUUGGACGUACCUCUGGUUUACCGGUUGUUUCGCCAGGAGCAUAGCCGGGUAUCUAAGUACGGAUGGAAUAAGUGCUGAAAGCAUCUAAGUACGAAGUCCGCCUCAAGAUUAGAUCUCCCAUGAGGGUGGUUAUAGACGAUGACCUUGAUAGGCUACAGGUGUACAGGCAGUAAUGUCAUAGCCGAGUAGUACUAAUAGCCCGAAAGAAUUAUUU